CCCGUUAUCUACUUUCAUUUUUGAUUUUCAGAAAAUCCAUUAGCUAGGUUACGCCAUGUAAAAAAGUUUAGUAGCCAAAAUCUGUGGCUUAAUUUUUCGAGUCGAUUGUUUUGACAUUUAACAACUCGGACAGCUUAUUUCAGGACCCCUGAAAGACCAGUGCAGUAUUCAGUGAGGAUGUUGGAGGCAAAAUGGAAUGGAGCUAAAUAAUUUUGUACCGGUACCUUGAAAUUCUAAAAUGCUUUUAGAGAGAUAUCAGAUACAAGAGUGUACAUAUUUAGUUAUUAGAAGCAUUGUCUUCAACAUGUAUGGAUGAAAUGAUGUAAUCAGAGAUAUCUGAUGGCUUUAGUGACUAUGCUACAGGAUGAAAUGAGAUCACAGACAGGGACCCCAUCAAACACUAAACUAAAUGGCUGGAAUGAGGUUCCUGACCCUGGUGAUAGUUCUGGUGCCACCUAUUAUAUAUUGAGCCAACAUAACUCCAAAAAUGAUUUUGUUGUAUUCAUAACUUUCUAUUAAAUAAUUUUUAUAUUUAACAUAUCUUUUAGUUUAAUUUUUUAGUUAAAGCUAAGUGAAUAUUUAUCAUUCUUAACCAGACUUCCACUUGUCUGAUGUGUAGAUUUGAACAAAUGCCCUGUUACGGUAGGAAGUUCAAGCUACAAUUGCCAGGUUAGGCUAAGAAGUGCUGAAUGAUGACAGGUCCUUGGAUGGCAUGGACCCAGUCCACGGAUGUCAUGGACACCGUCCAUGGAUGGCAUGGCCACUGUCCAUGGAUAUGCCCUGGACACUGGCCAUGGGUGCCAUGGACAUUGUCCAUGGCCACUGUCCCUAGACAGGCAUGGAUUUUUAUCCAGGGAUACACAGUUUUUGUCCAUGGAUAUGUGUUCCAAUACUCCAUG